CACCCCAGCUUUCAGUGGACGAGAAAACAAAUAAAAACGAACUCCUCAAACCGGGCUGCCCAGAGUUUGUAGUCUAGGGUUUCUGCCUUCGAGGAAACAAGCUGAGCCAUGGCUAUGCAAACGGGAGUUAGUUUCUCUAAAAUACUGAUUUUAGCUGGUGCAGGAUACACGGGAACUGUAUUGGUUAAUAACGGUAAAUUAUCGGAUUUGUUGGGCAAACUGCAGGAAUUGGUGAAGGGAUUGGAAAGUUCUGGUGAACAUGAUGU